UACGUAGGGUGCAAGCGUUGUCCGGAAUUAUUGGGCGUAAAGAGCUCGUAGGUGGCCUGUCGCGUCGGCUGUGAAAACUCGGGGCUCAACUCCGAGCUUGCAGUCGAUACGGGCAGGCUAGAGUUCGGCAGGGGAGACUGGAAUUCCUGGUGUAGCGGUGAAAUGCGCAGAUAUCAGGAGGAACACCGGUGGCGAAGGCGGCCUGCUGGGCAGUUUUGCUGACACUGAGGCGCGACAGCGUGGGGAGCAAACAGG
rnacentral:rRNA from 1 species